rnacentral:rRNA from 1 species
AACGAACGCUGGCGGCAUGCCUAACACAUGCAAGUCGAACGAUCCCUUCGGGGCUAGUGGCGCAAGGGUGCGUAACGCGUGGGAACCUGCCCUUAGGUUCGGAAUAACUCAGAGAAAUUUGAGCUAAUACCGGAUAAUGUCUUCGGACCAAAGAUUUAUCGCCUUUGGAUGGGCCCGCGUUGGAUUAGCUAGUUGGUGGGGUAAAGGCCUACCAAGGCGACGAUCCAUAGCUGGUCUGAGAGGAUGAUCAGCCACACUGGGACUGAGACACGGCCCAGACUCCUACGGGAGGCAGCAGUGGGGAAUAUUGGACAAUGGGCGAAAGCCUGAUCCAGCAAUGCCGCGUGAGUGAUGAAGGCCUUAGGGUUGUAAAGCUCUUUUACCCGGGAUGAUAAUGACAGUACCGGGAGAAUAAGCCCCGGCUAACUCCGUG